GUGCUCCAUGUAGCAGUGCAUAUACUAAAACUGGAACAAUACAGAAAGUGUUGGCAGGGCAGGGCCCUUGCACGAGGAUGACAUGCAAAUUCAUGACGCAUUCCAUAUUUUU